GAGUGUGUACCGAGGCACAGGGCUCAUAAACCAAAGAUAAGAUAAGGCCCCUGAGGCCCUUGUCUUUAAGGAACUUACGGCCUAUUCAUUUGGACAAGUGAAUGGACAUCGCUAUUAAUAUUGCUCAACACUACAAAACAAUUUCUGCACUAAUGAAAGUUAUGCAAAAUACUCAGGACUAUAUAAGAUAAAUAUUAUUGCACCCAAGUUUAGGCUAAACUUUACCUGAGUAAAGGCUAUGUAAUAGCACUGUCCUCUCCAGAUUAUCCAGGUUUAUCAGUAAGGCAACAAUGUAUAGAACUGCAAGGAUUUUUUUUUUUUUUUUUUUUUUUUUUUUUUUGCCUAGGACUUAACUUUAAGUUUCUGGGUUAGGGCCUUCAUUUAUAUUACUCAUCUUUUAUUCCAUGGAAUUCUAAAUAGGCCUGAGGAGGAGGUGCUGACCCAAAGAAAGGAGGCAGCUUUGAGAAAGCUUUUAGUAGAUCACAGCUGUGUAGAGUCUGAUAUAAAUUACAGGAUAUUAGAAAGCUGGGAAUGGUGCCAUCACACCCAGUGGUUUGUUUUUGCUUUUUGUUUUGGUAUUAGGGAUUUAACCCAGAGGUGGUUUACCACUGAGCUACAUCCAUGGUCCUUUUUAUUUUUUACAUUGAGAUAGGAUCUUACUAAAUUACUGAGGCUGGCCUGGAUUUGGGAUCCUCCUGUCUCAGCCUCCCCAGUUGCUGGGAUUAUAGGAGGGUGCCACCCCAUCCAGCCUGCCAAUUACUUUUGAUGUUAUUAGUAUCAAAAAUAAACAUGGAUUUUUCAUUUAAAUUUAUAUUUUUAAUUUCUAACUAUUACAUAAGAAUUGUACAUAUUUACCAUGUGAUGUUUUGAUACAUGUUCACUUUUUGUUAUUAAAAAUCUGGUGGGGGCAGAGAGGUGGGGCUGGGGUUAUGGCUCAGCGGUAGAGCACUCGCCUCACAUGUGCAAAGCCCUGGGUUAGAUCCUUAGCACCACAUAAAAAUAAAUAAAUAAAAAAGUCAUAAAAAAAAAUAUGGCCGGGCGUGGUGGCAAAUGCCUAUAAUCCCAAAGGUUUAGGAGGCUGAGGAAGGAGGAGAUCAAAACCAGCCUCAGCAAAAGCUGGGUGCUAAGCAACUCAGUGAGACCCUGUCUCAGAAUGAAAUACAAAAUAGGACUGGAGAUGUGGCUCAGUGGUUGAGAGCUCCUGAGUUCAAUCCCCGGUACUACCCCCUGCCCCCAAAAUCUGAAAGUUAAAGCUUCUAUGGAAAGUAGUUUUGUUAGGGGACAGACAGAUGAGGAUGGUGGAAACAUGAGGUUAAGAGAAUAAUUCUAUAAAAUGAGUCCGAUCUGCUGACCCCCACAUGCUUUCUUUUCCAAGAAGCAAUUUACCUGCAGCCCUGCCUAACUGGACAGGAUAUGUCACAUUCCUCAGCAAACUGUUAACUACAGGAGAAAUGUAGGCCCAAAAUAAUGUUGGUAGUAACCCUGAAGGGAAACACUUUUGUGACCAGAUCCUGAAAAUCCAAGAGAUAAGGAUGAUUCCUCUUUACCAUUAAAUCUGUAAGAAUGUAUGGUUAAGAAUCCAAUUAGAUGAUCAACACAGGCCAACCUAGAGUUGCCAUGGCAGUGGGUACUUAAAAGUCUGAUGUUAUCUUGCUGUCAGUCAAAAGUCAAGAAGUGAGCCCUGGCAGGACUUUCUGCAAACUUGUCUGGGAUCCCCAAUAAAAUGGGAGUGUAGGAAAGACCCAUUGUCUCUCUCCUCUUUGGGAGGACCCACUCUCUCCUCUGAGAGGGUCCCCUUUUCCUUUUCCUAUCCUUUCAAUAUACUCAUUCCUGUUAUUCUGAGCUACAUGGCCAAAAUCUUUCUGACUUGAUCUAAAGAUUUGGGGUUUGCAGGGUGUGGUCUUCUAAUUGCCUCAGUUUCUGCAAAGGCCCCUGCUAGGUAACAAUUUGAAGUGGCUCUGCCUGCCAACCCUCAGUAGCAGUUAAAAGUUAGAUGGAAGGUAUCAAUCUAUUAUCAUUUUCUCCUAUGCACUAAAACCUUUUAAAUAUUUCUGGGUUUUUUAAAUUUGAAAAAUAGAAAUUAGAAAUAGAAAUUCAAUAUUUUAAAAUCUAAAACUAGAAACUGACUUACUUUCUGUGUGAUGCUAGGGAUCAAACUCAGGGUAUCAAGCUCUACCACUAAGCUACACGCCUAACCCCAACCCUGUUAUUUUAUGUAAAAGAAAAACUAUGUCAGGCAUGGUGGCACAUGCCUGUAAUCCUAUCUACCGUGGAGACUGAAGCAGAAGGAUAGCAAGUUCAAGACCAGCUUGGGUACUAUAGUGAGAUCCCGUCUCAAAAAGAAAAAAAAAAAAAAAGGAAAGCUAUAAAGUCACAAAUAACUUGUUCCAACCAGAAAAAAGGAAAGAAUGUAUUAGCUUUUCUUUUUUAUGCAGUUCAAAAAUCAGUACAUUUAUGCAUAUUUUUCUUCUACUUCAGUUAAAUAAAUCAUCAGAGAUACAGCACAAAAUUGUACCCAGCACAUGGUAAAUAGGCACUUGGUCAAUAUUGAGGUCAAUAUUGACCUGAUUGCUUUCUUACUUGCUUUCCUCUCUUGUUUUUAAUUUUCCCUUACAUCUUCCAAAUUUUCCAAUAAAACCAAUGUUUUACCUGGAGAAUGGCCUAGGUUUCAUGAACAUCAAUUUUCAUUGUGUCCACUUACUUCAUUAUGGUUCAAAACCACAAACUUCCCCUACUUAAGACUUUUCUUGGUAUCUACUUCAAUAUAUAAGAAAUGAUUACUAUUCUCAAAAUUAAGAGAUUGGACUAAAUGAACUCUGAAUCACCUUAGGAACUUAAAGAUUCCUUAAUUCUUUCUAAUUUAGCAACAAUAAAUCAUUGAUUUGUGUUUUUAAAAGCUUCUCAGUUUCUACAGAACACUACACAGGAAGAACUGGCUUUCUUUCAGUUGCAAGCAUGAAGACAACAGCAAGACCAGUCUGUGUGGAUCACAGAUGCUUUUGCCACAACUAUUUGCCAAAUUAGGAAGUGCAGUGUAAGCCCCUAUGACACCAGUCCACCCAGUACCUGCACUGAUGCUGAAGGAACAAGGGAACUGAAGGACCCUGGGGCCAGCAGGUAUAAACAAUGAAGAGUGAAAGUGAGCAUCCUGCAAACAUCUUUGGGAAAAAAAAAUUUUUUUGUUUGUUUUAUUUUGAGCCUCAGAAGGAAUGUUUCUAGUGUUCUUCAUCAAGUAUAAAAAUAGUUGUUGAUUUAAGAUUACUGUGUAUUUUUAUCAUUUUAAUAAAGUGUCUUGUAAUUCUG